UGAAGAUUUUGUGAAUUUUUCAUAAAUCGCUUCUUCAUCGAUUUAUGAAAAAUUCUUCCGCUACGGUAGAGUUGUGUUACGUUUGUAAUUGUUUUGCUGAAGAACUAUGUAAUUAUGACCAAAUUAGAUGUUAAGCAAACUUUGUAUUAUCGGCAAAAGUCAAGGUAAUUAAAAUCGCUCCGCAGUUUGCGUUAUGAAAACCUCCGCGCAAAAGAACAUGAUGAUGGAAAUCGUUCAAUGACAGUCAUCACCAGCCCCGCACAUGCCGUACACUCGUACACCAAUACCAAUACCAAUACGUCCAUAAGUGGCAGCAAGGCAAAAGCGCAAAACCAGCUUGCCGUGGGCGCAUGGCUGCUACCAUACCACGAGAGAUCAUCAGCAAAAGGAAGGCAAUCCAUCAACCCUCACAGAACGACUUCAACACAGGCAAACAGACAUCACCACUACGAUGUUUCGAGAGUAAGCGAGAAGAAGCGGGAGAGCACACAAUUUGAGAACAUUCGUCUCGCCGAUGGUGUUGGUUGCAUUUCGGCCUAACCAGACACCGACUCACACAAGUCCUCAUACGGGAUGGACAAACGAUCGCAUCGAAUCGGAAUUAGUUGGUGUUCGUCCGUAAAUCAAGUCGCUCGCAGUUAGUCUCGCUUGCGAAAAACAAUUCAAAUCCGGUGAAGUGAUCAGGAAAUAAUUGUGAUCCUUCGGCAAAGCGCAUUCUGGCUACGUUUGGCCGCGCAGAUUGUGAAUUCGGGAAAAGAUCGCUCCCAAAAGAAGUGAGCGCAUCCAGCGUGUGUUUUUCAGCAGAUCACGACUAACGAAGAUCGGAGAGCGGAUUGGCAAGAAUCGGGCAAAAUUAUUCCUUGACGUCGGGCACCGGACGCAAUCGAGAUCAGCUUUUGGACCCCACGUAUCGUUGGACUGGACGCAAGUAUCGCGAGACUGGAACGAUCAAUAGAAGAACCAUUGAAACGACCGGAUCGAUCUUCGGCGGCGCGAGCAGAGGCCGUUCCAGGCUCAAUCGAAUAGGACGCUUUGAGGCAAACAGCACCCCGUAAACUGGCUAAAUCACGCAACACGACCGGAGCGAUCAAGACAAAGUUUCGUCGGACAAUAAGAACCCCUCAAAGGGGUUCUUUUUUCUUAUUGCAGUGUCAGUCGUCUCAAGUCAGGAAUUCAGGCCCAGUUCGAGCGUCACCACGCCCAGAAACGCGCUUCCGUCAGCGUCAGUAUAUCGGCACACACGGUGCUAGGGAGGAAGCAGCGGUUCCCAAACGAGUGCUUGCGGUGCGACAAGGCUGAUCGGAGGAGUCUUGCCAGCUGCCAGCCCACAGGGUCGAGGCAGUCAUGUCGAUCGCCGAGAAUGGAACGAGCAUGCGGCGGUGCACGCGUGGCCAAGUGAUGACCGGGUUGUGCGACAGGCCGGUGGCAUAAACCAGCUGUGAGCGGUAACCGUGAGUGAUUAAGUAAGAUCGAUGCCAAUUGAUUAUAAGAACACACAUUAAGAUAGCGCAGGAGGUUAGGACCACAGAUUAGGAGGGAGAUAUGAGCAAAACAGACAAUACAAACUUUUGAAAUGAGAA
rnacentral:lncRNA from 1 species